rnacentral:rRNA from 1 species
GACGAACGCUGGCGGCGUGCUUAACACAUGCGAGUCGAACGGUAAGGCCCUUCGGGGUACACGAGUGGCGAACGGGUGAGUAACACGUGGGUGAUCUGCCCUGCACUUCGGGAUAAGCCUGGGAAACUGGGCCUAAUACCGGAUAGGACUCCGGACUGCAUGGUCUGGGGUGGAAAGCUUUUGCGGUGUGGGAUGGGCCCGCGGCCUAUCAGCUUGUUGGUGGGGUGAUGGCCUACCAAGGCGACGACGGGUAGCCGGCCUGAGAGGGUGACCGGCCACACUGGGACUGAGAUACGGCCCAGACUCCUACGGGAGGCAGCAGUGGGGAAUAUUGCACAAUGGGCGCAAGCCUGAUGCAGCGACGCCGCGUGAGGGAUGACGGCCUUCGGGUUGUAAACCUCUUUCAGCACAGACGAAGCGCAAGUAACGGUAUGUGCAGAAGAAGGACCGGCCAACUACGUGCCAGCCGCCGCAGUAA